AGUGAACGCUGGCGGUAGGCCUAACACAUGCAAGUCGAACGGCAGCACAGUAAGAGCUUGCUCUUACGGGUGGCGAGUGGCGGACGGGUGAGGAAUACAUCGGAAUCUACUUUUUCGUGGGGGAUAACGUAGGGAAACUUACGCUAAUACCGCAUACGACCUACGGGUGAAAGCAGGGGAUCUUCGGACCUUGCGCGAUUGAAUGAGCCGAUGUCGGAUUAGCUAGUUGGCGGGGUAAAGGCCCACCAAGGCGACGAUCCGUAGCUGGUCUGAGAGGAUGAUCAGCCACACUGGAACUGAGACACGGUCCAGACUCCUACGGGAGGCAGCAGUGGGGAAUAUUGGACAAUGGGCGCAAGCCUGAUCCAGCCGUACCGCGUGGGUGAAGAAGGCCUUCCGGUUGUAAAGCCCUUUUGUUGGGAAAGAAAAGCAGCAGGUUAAUACCCCGCUGUUCUGACGGUACCCAAAGAAUAAGCACCGGCUAACUUCGUG
rnacentral:rRNA from 1 species